CUAACCAGUUAACAAGGGGAUUCAGCUCAUCAGCUGCAGACUUUUAAAUAAGACAGGAAGGAAGAGGGAGAAGGCUGGAAAGAAGGGCAAAGCAGUUCAGGUUCUCAGAGGAAGCUGACAAGACUUUUGAAUUCCAUUGUAUAGGAGGACCCUGAAGGGGGAAGGAAAGAGUGGUAAGGUACAAAUGCUGUGCAAGAAGCUUUGCAAAUAUAACAGACGAACAAGGAAUGCUGUGGAAAAAUUGUGCAAUGAGUCCAUGACAAUUCCAGAUAAUGACACUAGUCGAUGACAUUUCAUAACAACUUCACCUGCUGUACAUGUUUCUACAAAAAUAUAUGAUGCACCCUUGUUAUCAGGACCCUUGUUAUCAGGCU